CCUCAUCUCUUCUCUCUCUCUCGCUCUCUCACGUUGAUCGGCGAGUAUUCCGAUUUCAAAUCUCGAUUCCGAUUUCAAAUCUCGAUUCCGAUUACAGAUCUCGAUCUCGCUCUCAUUUCAGAUCUCUUCUCUCUGUUCCGAUUUUGCUUUUCCUUCUGUUUUCGAGUCCCACAUCGAUUCCAGGUUGAAGCAAAACACCUCAAGACCAGCAUCCUCGAUGUAGUCAAUCACGUAAAGUCGCUGCAGUUUUGGGCAUUGCUAAGAAGCUUGACAAGAUGAAUCAAACAUGUCCAAACUCUCCUAACUCGUCUUCUGAUACGAUUCCAUUAGUUGGAAAAGAAGAAAAUUUGAUGAUGAUUUCGUUACAUGUUGUUAUGUACCAAAAAGUUUUUACUCAACUUUUAUGUGUCUUUUGUAAGUUUGUAACUUAAGAAAAUUCCAUGUAACACUAUUGAUUGUUAUAUUUAGUGCUUUAAUUGUUAAAGUGAUUGCUAUUAUUAUA